UACAGAGGUCUCAAGCGUUGUUCGGAUUCAUUGGGCGUAAAGAGCACGCAGGCGGUUUGGCAAGUCGGAUGUGAAAACCCGAAGCUCAACUUCGGGCCUGCAUCCGAAACUGCCCGACUAGAGGUAGGUAGGGGAGAUCGGAAUUCCUGGUGUAGCGGUGAAAUGCGCAGAUAUCAGGAGGAACACCGGUGGCGAAGGCGGAUCUCUGGGCCUUACCUGACGCUCAGGUGCGAAAGCUAGGGGAGUGAACAGG
rnacentral:rRNA from 1 species